CCUCAGUGUGUUAUUCUACAUUUAAAGCGAAAGUGAAAGCUUUCAAGGCCUAAACAUUGUAUUUCCUGUCAGUGUCAGACGCUAGUGCAUCUCGGAACAGCAUCUAUUCGAUUAUAAACAGAAAAAUGACAAACAUCUACUCGCACAAAGCCGGAGAAACUCGGGGAUGUCAUGAGGCCUUUCUUCAAGAGCUCACCAAAAAAGGUGCAACGGUAGUGAACUCGCCCGGCGAGAGUCAUGUGAUCAUAGUCUUCUGCCCCAUUGUCAGUCGUUAUGAAACUGACAUUAACGCAGCGUUAUCCAGCAUCCCGGAAUCAGCACCCGAGGAAGUGAUUCUGGUGACGAUGCAUCACACGUUUGACAAGAACUACACCCUCCCAAACUACCGAGAUCAGGGCGGCCGUGCGGUCGCACUCCAUGUGGACUGCCUGUUCUUUGAGACCGAAAGGACUUUUAAAAUGCCAAUGCAAUAACAAAGCAAUCGAGAUGGUCUGCAAAAAGCUGCUUCUCGGGAAGUAUUCUGAAGAUAAGGGAUGUAUGGCGGUAAUCUGUGGAUGUAUGGCGUGAAAGUAAGGAUGAGAAAAAUAAAAGAAUUAAUUGAGAGAGAAAACAAAUGUUGUACCUGCUUUGCUGAUCGUCGUCUGUUCUUAAGGUGAUUAUUACCUAAUAAAUACAAUUAAAAAACAACUCACAUUAGCCUCAGCUAGCCGCUCUUUAACUUCACUCCUGGUUCUGAUGCGUGUACAUUAACGUGUUUGCUAAUGAAUUCUGUAGUUUAAAUGUGCUGCCUGUUGUUACACUAUAUGACAUAUAUGAUAUGCAGUGUGCUUAUGGGACAUUCUUUCUGCCAAAGUAUAAACUUAUUAAGAAUGUAGGUUAUGGGUGGAGGCUCCUGCAGUGACAUCGAUCCCGUUAAAUAUUCACUUCUUUAUAACAUUUUAAAUCAACUCUGUACUAACACUACUUUCACUGUAUUUUAUUCUAUUUAAUUGUGUACUCUCCACUUUACUGUCUUGUUCUUUUGCGGUAACGACGUACAUUUCCCCCGUUGUGGGACCAAUAAAGCAUUCCUGAUUCUGAA